CUGUAUAGGAGAUUAUUGGGAGAGGGACGCUUUCGGAACCAAGUGCUUGUUACAUGGCUGACUGUUAGGGUCUAAGUCUAGUGCUUGUCAAAAGUGGCCGAUGGUUUGAGAUUAUGAAAUUUCUAUACAGGGGUUUUAUUUUUCUUUUGGUCUCCUUUUUUUUUUUUUCUCCUCCUAUACACAAAGCAGCAGUCAGCUAAAACAGGUCAUCGCACGAAUGAAGUAGCUUGAUAAGGGCUGCCAGCUGACUGAAUGCCAGUCCAAUACUUCAUACGUAAAUUAAGGUAUUUUCCAAGCCUAUAUCGCUUCAAAGCCCAACCUGCCAAAGAACGAUCCUGUAGCUCCCAAGAACAGCAGAACUGUCAAGGAAAAAAAAAAUCACAUUCACUCAUUUUAAAGAUGCGAGCUUCUUCUGUUGCCUACUAACGGCCUAAUCAAACACGUGUAUCUAGUUCUAUAUAUCACUCCUCUAAUAAGCUUAGUAGCAUCGCCAAUGACUUCUAUUAUUUAUGGACCCUGCAAGCGCAAACAGGUAUGAUACUGGAUCAUUGGGGGGGGUCCCCAUUACGCCAUGAUGGGGAAAGGUUAGCAAUGCAUACAUAAACAAGAAUUGAUGGAUACUUGGGUUAAUGUGCAUGGAUUUUUUUUGUUAUUGUCAUGUUACAUCUCUGUAUUUAUAUCUUGAUUGUUUCACUUUCCCGUGUAUCAUGGCAAUUGUACAGAUAUUUUUCUUUUUUCUUUCGUUGCAUUAACAUGUAUGUGAUAGAAUUUGCUAAAAAAGGAAAUAAGAAGAAAAAAAAAUCCUGAGUUUGCUUUAGAAUAAAUUCAAUUUAUGUUUAAA